rnacentral:rRNA from 1 species
AGCGAACGCUGGCGGCAGGCCUAACACAUGCAAGUCGAACGAACCUUUCGGGGUUAGUGGCGGACGGGUGAGUAACACGUGGGAACGUGCCUUUAGGUUCGGAAUAACUCAGGGAAACUUGUGCUAAUACCGAAUGUGCCCUUCGGGGGAAAGAUUAAUCGCCUUUAGAGCGGCCCGCGUCUGAUUAGCUAGUUGGUUGAGGUAAUGGCUCACCAAGGCGACGGUCAGUAGCUGGUCUGAGAGGAUGAUCAGCCACAUUGGGACUGAGACACGGCCCAAACUCCUACGGGAGGCAGCAGUGGGGAAUCUUGCGCAAUGGGCGAAAGCCUGACGCAGCCAUGCCGCGUGAAUGAUGAAGGUCUUAGGAUUGUAAAAUUCUUUCACCGGGGACGAUAAUUACGGUACCCGGAGAAGAAGCCCCGGCUAACUUCGUG